AGAGUUUGAUCCUGGCUCAGGAUGAACGUUAGCGGCAGGCUUAACACAUGCAAGUCGAGGGGCAGCGGGGAGGAAGCUUGCUUUCUCCGCCGGCGACCGGCGCACGGGUGAGUAACACGUAUGCAACCUGCCCCUGUCAGGGGGACAACCCGCCGAAAGGCGGGCUAAACCCGCGUACAUGCCACCGGGGCAUCCCGGAGGCAGGAAAGGCUUCGGCCGGACAGGGAUGGGCAUGCGGCGCAUUAGGCAGUAGGCGGGGUAACGGCCCACCUAACCGACGAUGCGUAGGGGUUCUGAGAGGAAGGUCCCCCACACUGGUACUGAGACACGGACCAGACUCCUACGGGAGGCAGCAGUGAGGAAUAUUGGUCAAUGGUCGGGAGACUGAACCAGCCAAGCCGCGUGUGGGAUGAAGGUACAGAGUAUCGUAAACCUCUUUUGUCAGGGAACAAAGGCGGGGACGCGUCCCCGGAUGAGUGUACCUGAAGAAAAAGCAUCGGCUAACUCCGUGCCAGCAGCCGCGGUAAUACGGAGGAUGCGAGCGUUAUCCGGAUUUAUUGGGUUUAAAGGGUGCGCAGGCGGUCUGUUAAGUCAGCGGUCAAAGCCCGGGGCUCAACCCCGGCCCGCCGUUGAAACUGGCAGUCUCGAGUUGGAGAGAAGUAUGCGGAAUGCGCGGUGUAGCGGUGAAAUGCAUAGAUAUCGCGCAGAACUCCGAUUGCGAAGGCAGCAUGCCGGCUCCACACUGACGCUGAGGCACGAAAGCGUGGGUAUCGAACAGGAUUAGAUACCCUGGUAGUCCACGCAGUAAACGAUGAAUGCUGGCUGUCCGGGGGGACUGACCCCUGGGUGGCGAAGCGAAAGCGAUAAGCAUUCCACCUGGGGAGUACGCCGGCAACGGUGAAACUCAAAGGAAUUGACGGGGGCCCGCACAAGCGGAGGAACAUGUGGUUUAAUUCGAUGAUACGCGAGGAACCUUACCCGGGCUCAAACGGGGAGUGACUCAGGCAGAGACGCCUGUUUCCCACGGGACACUCCCCGAGGUGCUGCAUGGUUGUCGUCAGCUCGUGCCGUGAGGUGUCGGCUUAAGUGCCAUAACGAGCGCAACCCCCGCGUGCAGUUGCUAACAGAUAACGCUGAGGACUCUGCACGGACUGCCGGCGCAAGCCGCGAGGAAGGCGGGGAUGACGUCAAAUCAGCACGGCCCUUACGUCCGGGGCGACACACGUGUUACAAUGGGUGGUACAGCGGGAAGCCAGGCGGCGACGCCGAGCGGAACCCGAAAUCCACUCUCAGUUCGGAUCGGAGUCUGCAACCCGACUCCGUGAAGCUGGAUUCGCUAGUAAUCGCGCAUCAGCCAUGGCGCGGUGAAUACGUUCCCGGGCCUUGCACACACCGCCCGUCA
rnacentral:rRNA from 1 species